UAGGUGAACCUGCGGAAGGAUCAUUACUGAGUGCGGGUUCCAACGAGCCCAACCUCCCACCCGUGUUUACCGUAACCGCGUUGCCUCGGCGGGCCCACUGGGGCCUGUCCCCGGUCGCCGGGGGGCAUCUGCCCCCGGGCCCGCGCCCGCCGAAGCGCCCUGGAACCCUGUCUGAAUAGUGAGUCUGAGUGAAUGAUUGAAUCAUUAAAACUUUCAACAACGGAUCUCUUGGUUCCGGCAUCGAUGAAGAACGCAGCGAAAUGCGAUAAUUAAUGUGAAUUGCAGAAUUCCGUGAAUCAUCGAGUUUUUGAACGCACAUUGCGCCCCCUGGCAUUCCGGGGGGCAUGCCUGUCCGAGCGUCAUUUCUGCCCUCCAGCCCGGCUGGGUGUUGGGCGCUGUCCCCCCGGGGACACGCCCCAAAGGCAGUGGCGGCGCCGCAUGGGUCCUCGAGCGUAUGGGGCUUUGUCACCCGCUCUGAGGGACUCGUCGGCGCUGGUCUUCCCCCAGGCGGCCCGUCUCGGGCUCGUCUUCUUCCGGUUGACCUCGGAUCAGGUAGGGCUACCCGC
rnacentral:rRNA from 1 species